UGAGGAAUAUUGGUCAAUGGACGAAAGUCUGAACCAGCCAUGCCGCGUGAAGGAAUAAGGCCCUAUGGGUCGUAAACUUCUUUUGUAUGUGAGCAAUAAGGUCCACGCGUGGUCCGAUGAGAGCAGCAUACGAAUAAGCAUCGGCUAACUCCGUGCCAGCAGCCGCGGUAAUACGGAGGAUGCAAGCGUUAUCCGGAAUCAUUGGGCGUAAAGGGCAUGUAGGCGGUCUGUCAAGCCAGGCGUGAAAGCCAGGGGCUCAACCCCUGAACUGCGCUUGGAACUGGCGGACUGGAGUCGCUGAGGGGGAACCGGAAUUCCCUGGUGUAGGGGUGAAAUCUGUAGAUAUCAGGAAGAACACCGAUGGCGAAGGCAGGUUUCCAGCAGACGACUGACGCUGAGGUGCGAAGGUGCGGAGAGCAAACAGGAUUAGAUACCCUGGUAGU
rnacentral:rRNA from 1 species